AUUUCUCAUUUAUAUAGUUUAAGCAAAACAUUACUUUUUCAUUGUAAAAUUAAAUAUUAUAUUUUAUAA
rnacentral:tRNA from 1 species